GACGGAGGGGGCUAGCGUUGUUCGGAAUUACUGGGCGUAAAGAGCGCGUAGGCGGUUUGGUAAGUUGGAAGUGAAAGCCCGAGGCUUAACCUCGGAAUUGCUUUCAAAACUGCUAAACUAGAGUGUAGUAGGGGAUGAUGGAAUUCCUAGUGUAGAGGUGAAAUUCUUAGAUAUUAGGAGGAACACCGGUGGCGAAGGCGGUCAUCUGGGCUACAACUGACGCUGAUGCGCGAAAGCGUGGGGAGCAAACAGG
rnacentral:rRNA from 1 species